rnacentral:rRNA from 1 species
UCUUUUUAUUGUGUGCCAGCCGCCGCGGUAAUACGUAUGGUGCAAGCGUUAUCCGGAUUUACUGGGUGUAAAGGGAGCGCAGGCGGUGCGGCAAGUCUGAUGUGAAAGCCCGGGGCUCAACCCCGGUACUGCAUUGGAAACUGUCGUACUAGAGUGUCGGAGGGGUAAGCGGAAUUCCUAGUGUAGCGGUGAAAUGCGUAGAUAUUAGGAGGAACACCAGUGGCGAAGGCGGCUUACUGGACGAUAACUGACGCUGAGGCUCGAAAGCGUGGGGAGCAAACAGG